rnacentral:lncRNA from 1 species
UGGAAUCCGGUGUGAGAGAAAGGUGGUCUAGGUGGGUGGGGUCUUUUUGUGUGUUCUUGAUGCAGUUCAAUGCACGCGUGUGUGAGCACGAGGUGGUGUUAGAAUAAGGUCUUAAGGGAUGGUGUUAGAAUAGACCCACCGUGUAUAUAUAUAUAUACUACAGAAAAAAAGAUAUACAGUUACGCUGGAGCAUAAGCAAUCUGUGCCGCAUGUUAUAUGUUGGGAUACCACAUGUGUGUGCAUGUGAGAGAGAUAAUCUUAUCUACAAGAACGUGCCAAUCUCGAUACAAACAAACGGCUCAGAUAGCAACCACCCCGGCUAGUGUUGAUAGAAAGUAUUGUAAGAUAAUUUUUU